rnacentral:rRNA from 1 species
AUGGCCGCGUCCUCGCUGCUCCGCUCGCUCUCCCGCGUCUCGCGCCGCGGCUGCGCGCCCGCGUUCUACGGCCGCGGCCCGCUCUCGCCGCUCUCCACCGCCGCGGCGGCUGCGGCGGCCGACGCGAGGGAUGCUGCUGUGUUACCGAGGGGGCUCGCGGGGCUGGGGCCGACGGCCAAGGGGGAGAAGGCGCGGGUGGUGGUGCUCGGAACGGGGUGGGCGGGGUCGCGCCUCAUGAAGGACCUCGACACCACCGGCUACGACGUCGUCUGCGUCUCCCCGCGCAACCACAUGGUGUUCACGCCGCUGCUCGCCUCCACCUGCGUCGGCACGCUCGAGUUCCGCUCCGUCGCCGAGCCGCUCGCGCGCAUCCAGCCCGCCGUCUCCAGCUCCCCGGGCUCCUACUUCCUCCUCGCCCGCUGCACCGCCGUCGACCCCGACGCCCACACGAUUGAGUGUGAGACAGUUACUGAAGGUGAGAAAGACACCUUGAAGCCGUGGAAAUUCAAGGUUUCGUAUGACAAGUUGGUCUUUGGAUGUGGAGCUGAGGCAUCGACUUUCGGUAUACGUGGUGUUACUGAACAUGCAACCUUUCUUCGGGAAGUUCAUGACGCUCAAGAGAUCCGCAGGAAGCUCCUUCUGAAUCUGAUGCUGUCUGAUGUACCUGGCAUAUCAGAGGGCGAAAAGCGCAGGCUAUUGCACUGUGUUGUUGUUGGAGGUGGUCCAACAGGGGUUGAAUUUAGCGGGGAACUUAGUGAUUUCAUCACCAGAGAUGUGAAAGAACGUUACUCACAUGUGAAAGAUUAUGUCCAUGUGACCCUGAUUGAGGCAAAUGAGAUAUUGUCAUCAUUCGAUGUUCGCCUCAGGCAGUAUGCUGUAAACCAACUAGUUAAGUCAGGUGUUAGGCUUGUACGAGGAAUCGUGAAGGAUGUACAACCCGACAAAUUAAUCCUGGACAAUGGAGAGGAGGUUCCUUAUGGUUUGCUGGUAUGGUCUACUGGGGUUGGUGCUUCAUCAUUCGUCAAGUCAUUGCCAUUUCCCAAGUCACACGGAGGAAGGAUCGGUGUAGAUGAGUGGUUACGUGUUCCUUCUGUCCCAGAUGUAUUUGCUAUUGGUGAUUGCUGUGGAUUCCUUGAAAGCACCGGCAAGGAAGUUCUCCCAGCCUUAGCUCAGGUUGCCGAGCGGCAAGGCUUGUACCUCGCUCGCCUGCUCAACCGUGUGAUGAAAGCUGGAGGAGGGCACGCAAAUUCCCAGGUCGAAGUCGAUCUAGGUCCAAAGUUUGUGUAUAAGCAUCUAGGGAGUAUGGCAACCGUUGGAAGGUACAAAGCUCUGGUGGACCUGAGGCAAAGCAAGGACUCGAAGGGCAUAUCCAUUGCAGGAUUUGCAAGCUGGUUCAUCUGGCGCUCAGCGUACCUGACUCGUGUUGUCAGCUGGAGAAAUAGGCUCUAUGUGGCUAUCAAUUGGCUGACCACGAUGAUAUUCGGCCGUGACAUAAGCCGUAUCUAG